ensembl:snoRNA
AGCCUCAUUCUAGAUUAGAAUGGGCACUGGUGGAUGGUGCUCAAAAUUGGCCAAUAUGGCUAAAAUUGAGACAUAGAUCAUGCCUCUAUCACAGUAAACAUAUUUCAGUGGUGACAAUGAGACCUGCAACAUUU